rnacentral:tRNA from 1 species
GUCUUGGAAGCUUUAAGCGACCUAUUUUGUAAAUAGGUAGAAGUUAUUUAUUAUUAUAACUCAAGAC